CCUUUCCAUUCCCUACUCUCUCUCACAACUCACAUCAACUUUAUCAGAUCAACUUUCUCCUUCCUUUCUCUCUCUUUCUCUCAGAUCUAGAUCGGAAGUGUUUGAACCACCGGUGGAGGAAACUAGGGUUUCGUCGUCCGUGAUGAAAGAUGUCUGGAGUGCUGAUGGUUUGAGAUGAAAUCAGAUGAUGAAAACACACAGGGUUGAACACCGAUUUGAAGAAACCCUAACUGAAGGUUUCGUCAGGUCAUAUCUGCUGUGGUUUCUUUCGGCUUUUCUUCCACAUCAACGAUUAGCAAACAAAAAGCUGCAGUUCAACCAGGGGAAAAUAUAUGUUGUAUGGUGGGUUGGAGAGGUGGGGAGUCAACUGAUGAUGGUGAAACUACAUAGGGUCAAGUAUCCUGUGUUAUUGGGAUUCUAAUGGGGCCUCUGGUGUGGAAGAAGAAGUUACAAAAGUAAUAAUAAGAGCAUUCCUGGAUGAGAAACCACAUCAGCAAGUGCGUUCUCAAUCAGAUCAACCAUAUCCCAUGGCUCGAAAGCUAGCCCGCUUUCACAGUCGAAGACAUGUGGCAUGAAUAUCAGUUUCAACUCUCAAAACAAUAUCAAGAGUUUCACAGGCCUCACGUCAUCCUUCUUAGCCAAGGAAAAACAAACGCUUUUGAUGAGCUUUAUAGUUGAUGAUACAAACGGUGAAACGCAAGAUGAUGACAUCACCAGCGAAGAUAGCGAGUCAGAUGAUGCCGAUGAUCAUUUCGAUCCCGUUUGUGCGAUAUGUGAUAAUGGUGGCAGGCUUACAUGAGAGAUGUUUUAGGUCGUUUCAUGCAAUCCCAGAUUCUGAAGAGGCACAAGAGUCCAAUUGUGAAUCCCUUUUUUUUAUCUCCUGAAGAACUGGAGAGUCAAAACGAAUAUAAAUGUGAAAAUUGUCAGUAUAGUCUGCACCAGUACUUUGUCUGUGGUGAACUAGGGUCUUCUGAUAAAUCUACAAAUACAGAGGUUUUUCGUUGUAGUUCCGCAACGUGUGGCCACUUUUAUCACCCGAAAUGCGUAGCCAAGCUGCUCCAGAAAAAUGAUAAGACCGAUCGACAGAAGCUUCAAGAAAAAAUUGUUGCAGGGUAACCGUUUAUAUUUCCAGCUCACAAGUGUGCCAUCUGUAAGCGAACCGAAAACGAAAAAGUCGAAGAUUUGCAGUUUGCAGUUUGUUGAUGCAGAGGUUGAAGGGUUUUGUCCCAAUUCAAUAGAAAUGUUAUGUACAAAGAUCUGAUACGCUGACUACGUGAGUGAUAUUAAUUUUUAUAAUUGGCAUGUGGGACUUCUUGAUUACAGUUAUGAGAUGCAUGGACGUGUGAUCUUGGUCGUGUCUCCGAGAGCUUAACCAUCUGUAUAUGGUGUGAAUGUUUUGGCGCGUACUUUUGCAGCAUGGUUCGGGUAAUAACAGGUCUGAACCGAAAGAUCUGAGAAACCGUUGGAAUGGGAACAGAUGCUCGCAACUAGAAUCAUGAUCUGAUUAGAUGACACUGACUGUCUCCUGCAGUCAACUCAGCCACAAGAUAUUGUUUCUCAGGCGAGGCAGAGGCUGUAAAUUCUUCUAGAAAGCUUGGCGGCAGCCCUUCAGUUAUUUGUAUGUUACCAUAGAUUAGUGUAUGAGGACAAUGAAGGAGACAUGUGCUUGCUGGUGGUGAAUAGAGAUUUUUUUUUCCUA